UCCGAUGUGAUGUAACGGUUUAGCAUACCUAGGUGUCUUUCACACAGGAUAUCGGGGUUCGAUUCCCCGCAUCGGAG
rnacentral:tRNA from 1 species